rnacentral:rRNA from 1 species
GGAGCUGGGCUGGUGUGCCUACACUGGCAUGUCAGGGAGGUUCUUUUGACCUAGCGGCAAAUGCCGUGAGUAACACGUGCUUAAUCUACCCUUUAGAUUGGAAUACCCCAUGGAAACAUUGGCUAAUGCCGGAUACGCAUGGAAUCGCAUGAUUCCGUUGUGAAAGGAGCCUUUAAGGCUCCGCUAGAGGAUGAGGGUGCGGAACAUUAUUUAGUUGGUAGGGUAAUGGCCUACCAAGACUAUGAUGUUUAUCCGGGUCGAGAGACUGAACGGCCACAUUGGGACUGAAAUACGGCCCAAACUCCUACGGGAGGCAUCAGUAAGGAAUAUUCCACAAUGAUCGAAAGCUUGAUGGAGCGACACAGCGUGCACGAUGAAGGUCUUCGGAUUGUAAAGUGCUGUUAUAGGGAAAGAACACCUGGUUGAAAGAAAUGCUUCCAGGCUGACGGUACCCUGUCACAAAGCGAUGGCUAACUAUGUGCCUCCAGCCGCGGUAAUACAUAAGUCGCAAGCGUUAUCCGGAAUUAUUGAGCGUAUGGCGUUCGUAGGCUGUUUAUUAAGUCUGGAGUCAAAUCCCAGGGCUCAGCCUGGCUCGCUUUGGAUACUGGUAAACUAGAGUUACAUAGAGGUAAGCGGAAUUCCAUGUGAAGCGGUGAAAUGCGUAGAUAUAUGGAAUAUCACCAAAGGCGACUGCUGCUUACUGGGUCUAUACUGACGCUGAUGAACCAGAGCGUGGGGAGCAACAGGAUUAGAUACACUGGUAGUCCUCGCCGUACACGAUGAUCAUUAUUCGGUGGAGAGUUCACUGACGCAGCUAACGCGUUAAUGAUCCGCCUGAGUAUAUGCUCGGAGAGUGAACUCAAAUGAUUUGACUGAAUAAA